rnacentral:piRNA from 1 species
UGUCAGGUCUGAAGUUUCCCAAAGGGC